AGAACGAACGCUGGCGGCAGGCCUCAAACAUGCAAGUCUAGGGGGUGUAGCAAUACAUCACCGGCGGACGGGUGCGUAACGCGUGGGAAUGUACCUAUUGGUUCGGAACAACUGAGGGAAACUUCAGCUAAUACCGGAUGAGCCCGAAAGGGGAAAGAUUUCUCGCCAAUAGAUCAGCCCGCGUCCGAUUAGCUAGUUGGUGGGGUUAAAGCCUACCAAGGCGACGAUCGGUAGCUGUUCUGAGAGGAAGAUCAGCCACACUGGGACUGAGACACGGCCCAGACUCCUACGGGAGGCAGCAGUUGGGAAUCUUGGACAAUGGGGGAAACCCUGAUCCAGCCAUGCCGCGUGAGUGAUGAAGGCCUUCGGGUUGUAAAACUCGUUUCGACGGGGACGAGUAAUGACGGUACCCGUAGAAGAAGCUCCGGCUAACGUUCGUGCCAGCAGCCGC
rnacentral:rRNA from 1 species